UCCUGUUUUAUAGUUGUUAGCAGUUGUUGUAUGUAUUACUGAGGUGCUCCCGUGUUGGGUGCAUAUAAAUUUAAAAUUGUUAUAUCUUCUUUUUGGAUUGAUUCCUUGAUCAUUAUGUAGCGUCUUUCCUUGUCUCUUGUAACAUUCUUUAUUUUAAAGUCUAUUUCAUCUGAUAUCAGUAUUGCUACUCCAGCUUUCUUUUGAUUUCCGUUUGCAUGGAAUAUCUUUUUCCAUCCCGUCACUUUCAGUCUGUAUGUGUCCCUAGGUCUGAAGUGGGUCUCUUGUAGACAGCAUAUAGAUGGGUCUUGUUUUUGUAUCCAUUCAGGGAGCCUGUGUCUUUUGUUUGGAGCAUUUAAUCCAUUCACAUUGAAGGUAAUUAUCAAUGUGUAUGUUCCUAUUGCCAUUUUCUUAAUUGUUAUGGGUUUGUUUUUGUAGGCCCUUUUCUUCUCUUGUGUUUCCCACUUAGAGAAGUUCCUUUAGCAUUUGUUGUAGAGCUGGUUUGGUGAUGGUGAAUUCUCUUAGCUUUUGCUUGUCUAUAAAGCUUUUGAUUUCUCCAUUGAAUCUGAAUGAGAUCCUUGCCGGGUAGAGUAAUCUUGGUUGUAGUUUCUUCCCUUUCAUCAUUUUAAGUAUAUCAUGCCACUCCCUUCUGGCUUGUAGAGUUUCUGCUGAGAAAUCAGCUGUUAACCUUAUGGGAGUUCCCUUGUAUGUUAUUUGUCAUUUUUCCCUUGUUGCUUUCAAUAAUUUUUCUUUGUCUUUAAUUUUUGCCAGUUUGAUUUCUUUGUGUCUCAGUGUGUUUCUCCUUGGGUUUAUCCUGUAUGGGCCUCUCUGUGCUUCUUGUACUUGGGUGGCUAUUUCCUUUCCCAUGUUAGGGGAGUUUUUGCCUAUAAUCUUUUCAGAUAUUUUCUCAGAUCCUUUCUCUCUCUUUUCUCCUUCUGGGACCCCUAUAAUGUGAAUGUUGUUGCAUUUAAUGUUGUCCCAGAGGUCUCUUAGGCUGUCUUCAUUUCUUUUCAUUCUUUUUUCUUUAUUCUGUUCCGCAGCAGUGAAUUCCACCAUUCUGUCUUCCAGGUCACUUAUCCAUUCUUCUGCCUCAGUUAUUCUGCUAUUGAUUCCUUCUAGUGUAAUUUUCAUUUCAGGUAUUGUAUUGUUCAUCUCUGUUUGUUUGUUCUUUAAUUCUUGUAGAUCUUUGUUAAACAUUUCUUGCAUCUUCUCAAUCUUUGCCUCCAUUCUUCUUCCGAGGUCCUGGAUCAUCUUCACUAUCAUUAUUCUGAAUUCUUUUUCUGGAAGGUUGCCUAUCUCCACUUCAUUUAGUUGUUUUUCUGGGGUUUUAUCUUGUUCCUUCAUCUGGUACAUAGCCCUCUGCCUUUUCAUCUUGUCUGUCUUUCUGUGAAUGUGGUUUUUGUUCCACAGGCUGCAGGAUUGUAGUUCUUUUUGCUUCUGCUGUCUGCCCUCUGGUGGAUGAGGCUAUCUAAGAGGCUUGUGCAAGCUUCCUGAUGGGAGGGACUGGUGGUGGGUAGAGUUGGCUGUUGCUCUGGUGGGCAGAGCUCAGUAAAACUUUAUCCACUUGUCUGCUGAUGGGUGGGGCUGGGUUACCUCCCUGUUGGUUGUUUGGCCUGAGGCGACCCAACACUGGACCCAACCGGCUCUUUGGUGGAACCAAUGCGGACUCUAGGAGGGCUCACGCCAAGGAGUACUUCCCAGAACUUCUGCUGCCAGCCAGUGUCCUUGUACCCACGGUGAGCUGCAGCCACCCCCUACCUCUGCAGGAGACCCUCCAGCACUAGCAGCCCAGCUUCAAUAAUUAACCAUUAGUACCCAGUCUUACUUCGUCUGUACCCCUGUCUAGGCUCAUCAUAUUAUUUUGAAGCAUAUCUCAGAUAUAAUCAUAAUACCAUGUCACACCUGAAAAAAAAAGGAGCGCAGGCAUGACUCAUCUGGUCUGACUGAGGACACCCC